GACGAACGCUGGCGGCGCGCUUAACACAUGCAAGUCGAGCGAAGCGGCGGACGGGUGAGUAACACGUGAGUAACCUGCCUUAGACAUUGGGAUAGCCUCGGGAAACCGGGAUUAAUACCAAAUGGUCUAAGAUGGACUCGCGUCCCAUUAGCUAGUUGGUGAGGUAACGGCCCACCAAGGCGACGAUGGGUAGCCGGCAUGGGAGGGUGAACGGGCACAUUGGAACGUACAGACGGUCCAAACGCUACGGGAGGCAGCAGUGGGUAAUAUGGAACAAUGUAGGGAACUUUAAUGUAGCGACGCCGCGUGAACGAAGAAGGCUUUCGAGUCGUAAAGUGCUUUUAUAUGGGAAGCGGUACCAUAAGAAAAAGCCCCGGCUAACUACGUGCCAGCCGCCGCGGUAAUUC
rnacentral:rRNA from 1 species